AAGUGAUGCGGUAGAGGAGCGUUCUGUAAGCCUGUGAAGGUGAGUUGAGAAGCUUGCUGGAGGUAUCAGAAGUGCGAAUGCUGACAUGAGUAACGACAAUGGGUGUGAAAAACACCCACGCCGAAAGACCAAGGUUUCCUGCGCAACGUUAAUCGACGCAGGGUUAGUCGGUCCCUAAGGCGAGGCUGAAAAGCGUAGUCGAUGGAAAACAGGUUAAUAUUCCUGUACUUCUGGUUAUUGCGAUGGAGGGACGGAGAAGGCUAGGCCAGCUUGGCGUUGGUUGUCCAAGUUUAAGGUGGUAGGCUGAAAUCUUAGGUAAAUCCGGGGUUUCAAGGCCGAGAGCUGAUGACGAGUUACCCUCUGGGUGACGAAGUGGUUGAUGCCAUGCUUCCAAGAAAAGCUUCUAAGCUUCAGAUAACCAGGAACCGUACCCCAAACCGACACAGGUGGUUGGGUAGAGAAUACCAAGGCGCUUGAGAGAACUCGGGUGAAGGAACUAGGCAAAAUGGCACCGUAACUUCGGGAGAAGGUGCGCCGGUGAGGGUGAAGCACUUGCUGCGUAAGCCCACGCCGGUCGAAGAUACCAGGCCGCUGCGACUGUUUAUUAAAAACACAGCACUCUGCAAACACGAAAGUGGACGUAUAGGGUGUGACGCCUGCCCGGUGCCGGAAGGUUAAUUGAUGGGGUUAGCUAACGCGAAGCUCUUGAUCGAAGCCCCGGUAAACGGCGGCCGUAACUAUAACGGUCCUAAGGUAGCGAAAUUCCUUGUCGGGUAAGUUCCGACCUGCACGAAUGGCGUAACGAUGGCGGCGCUGUCUCCACCCGAGACUCAGUGAAAUUGAAAUCGCUGUGAAGAUGCAGUGUAUCCGCGGCUAGACGGAAAGACCCCGUGAACCUUUACUAUAGCUUUGCACUGGACUUUGAAUUUGCUUGUGUAGGAUAGGUGGGAGGCUUUGAAGCGUGGACGCCAGUCUGCGUGGAGCCAUCCUUGAAAUACCACCCUGGCAACUUUGAGGUUCUAACUCAGGUCCGUUAUCCGGAUCGAGGACAGUGUAUGGUGGGUAGUUUGACUGGGGCGGUCUCCUCCUAAAGAGUAACGGAGGAGUACGAAGGUGCGCUCAGACCGGUCGGAAAUCGGUCGUAGAGUAUAAAGGCAAAAGCGCGCUUGACUGCGAGACAGACACGUCGAGCAGGUACGAAAGUAGGUCUUAGUGAUCCGGUGGUUCUGUAUGGAAGGGCCAUCGCUCAACGGAUAAAAGGUACUCCGGGGAUAACAGGCUGAUACCGCCCAAGAGUUCAUAUCGACGGCGGUGUUUGGCACCUCGAUGUCGGCUCAUCACAUCCUGGGGCUGAAGCCGGUCCCAAGGGUAUGGCUGUUCGCCAUUUAAAGUGGUACGCGAGCUGGGUUUAGAACGUCGUGAGACAGUUCGGUCCCUAUCUGCCGUGGACGUUUGAGAUUUGAGAGGGGCUGCUCCUAGUACGAGAGGACCGGAGUGGACGAACCUCUGGUGUUCCGGUUGUCACGCCAGUGGCAUUGCCGGGUAGCUAUGUUCGGAAAAGAUAACCGCUGAAAGCAUCUAAGCGGGAAACUUGCCUCAAGAUGAGAUCUCACUGGAGCCUUGAGCUCCCUGAAGGGCCGUCGAAGACUACGACGUUGAUAGGCAGGGUGUGUAAGCGCUGUGAGGCGUUGAGCUAACCUGUACUAAUUGCCCGUGAGGCUUGACCAU
rnacentral:rRNA from 1 species